rnacentral:rRNA from 1 species
GACGAACGCUGGCGGCGUGCCUAAUACAUGCAAGUUGAGCGCUGAAGGUUGGUACUUGUACCAACUGGAUGAGCAGCGAACGGGUGAGUAACGCGUGGGGAAUCUGCCUUUGAGCGGGGGACAACAUUUGGAAACGAAUGCUAAUACCGCAUAAAAACUUUAAACACAAGUUUUAAGUUUGAAAGAUGCAAUUGCAUCACUCAAAGAUGAUCCCGCGUUGUAUUAGCUAGUUGGUGAGGUAAAGGCUCACCAAGGCGAUGAUACAUAGCCGACCUGAGAGGGUGGUCGGCCACAUUGGGACUGGGACACGGCCCAAACUCCUGCGGGAGGCAGCAGUAGGGAAUCUUCGGCAAUGGACGAAAGUCUUGCCGAGCAACGCCGCGUGAGUGGAGAAGGUUUUCGGAUCGUAAAACUCUGUUGGUAGAGAAGAACGUUGGUGAGAGUGGAAAGCUCAUCAAGUGACGGUAACUACCCAGAAAGGGACGGCUAACUACGUG